GACAGAGGGUGCAAACGUUGUUCGGAAUUACUGGGCGUAAAGCGAGUGUAGGCGGCUCGGUAAGUCGGAUGUGAAAGCCCCGGGCUCAACCCGGGAAGUGCACUCGAUACUGCCGAGCUAGAGUAUCGGAGAGGUUGGUGGAAUUCUCGGUGUAGAGGUGAAAUUCGUAGAUAUCGAGAGGAACACCGGUGGCGAAGGCGGGUCUCUGGGCAACAACUGACGCUGAGGAGCGAAAGCGUGGGGAGCAAACAGG
rnacentral:rRNA from 1 species